GAAAUGCGAUAAUUAAUGUGAAUUGCAGAAUUCAGUGAUUCAUCGAGUCUUUGAACGCACAUUGCGCCCCCUGGUAUUCCGGGGGGCAUGCCUGUCCGAGCGUCAUUGCUGCCCUCAAGCACGGCUUGUGUGUUGGGCUUCCGUCCCUGGCAACGGGGACGGGCCCAAAAGGCAGUGGCGGCACCAUGUCUGGUCCUCGAGCGUAUGGGGCUUUGUCACCCGCUCCCGUAGGUCCAGCUGGCAGCUAGCCUCGCAACCAAUCUUUUUAACCAGGUUGACCUCGGAUCAGGUAGGGAUACCCGCUGAACUUAAGC
rnacentral:misc_RNA from 1 species